GCGCUGGUGGUUCAGUGGUGAAAUUCUCGCCUGCCACGCGGGAGGCCCGGGUUCGAUUCCCGGCCAGUGCA
rfam:Nematostella vectensis strain CH2 x CH6 NEMVEscaffold_847_Cont33426, whole genome shotgun sequence.